ensembl:lncRNA
UGUAAUUAAUUGCCCAACCUGCGUCUCGCAGGGGAGCGAUCCGGAGCGUGUUCGCCCUCCUGGCACACGAGGAACAGUGAAAUCCUUUCCCCCAGCCCUGGGGCGAUGUCUGGGGGCUGUUUCUGGGCUCCGUGGGGCCCGCAGCAGCGAGUGAGUGAGGAGACUUGGAACAGCCCGCACCGGUGUGUGCGAGGCUGGGAAAAGGUGUGUGCUAACAACCGGGAGCGCUAGGCUGCCCCUCGGCCGGAGCCGGGCACGGAUGCGGUGGCACCGUGCGCGUCCCCUCCCCGGCCCUGCCUACAAAAGGAUCGCGGCUCCCCCGGCACCGCGCACCCCGCCCGGCCUCGCCCCUGCUCCCAUGUCACAGCCCGCAGCGACGGCAUGAAGAAAUCCUCGUAUUCAGGGAAACCUGUUAUUUGUUGUGGCCUCCCGAGGUGGUUGGAGCAGCCCUGGAGAAGGGAGGAGCAGUGCAAGGAGAGGUCUGGAUACGGCUGGCUGUCACACAGAAAAGCUGCCAGCUCUGUGACCUGGCGUGGUGACUCCUCACAGAUGAGGCCAAGGGUCUUUUGCUGCUUUGCUGGUUUGGGGUGGGUUGUGCUGGAGUGGAGCUGGGGUGCUGCAAAGCCUCUGAUGUGUCCCUGGUGGGUGCCCAAACCCUCCCACGCUGGGUGGUACAGCUGAGCUGGCACCUGGGCAGUACCUUUGUUCCAAAGGGGCUGUGGCUGUGUUUUGGAAACAGUGUCGUGAGAUUUCCCCGGUGCAGCUAUUUAAACAAAAACAACAGAACUGCCGUGCCCAGAAUGCACUACUGGGAAGCAACAGGACAGCUGCACUCCUCACAGGCUCCUCACACACCUUGCAAAGAGCACAGGCAGCGCUGCUGAGCUGCUCUGGGUUGCAAAGGCUUCACUUUUGGGUGCUGUACCCAAUAAGUCUCCCUGACUUACUGGGCAGAAGGUGGAUGAAGGUGGAGGAAUCCCCCAUGGCAUGGGGGAGGCCACCUUGAAGAGCUGCCACCUCUGUGAGGUGGAGCCAGCCCUCGGUGGCUGGUGUGUUCACAAAUCGGGGCACAGCAGUGGUCACUGGCUUUGGGGAAUUUCACUGGGAACCCAGAUUGCUUCUCCAAGACAUGGACGUGCAGGGUGCUGCAGAGCCUCUGGGCUCUCUGCUGUCUGCCAGAGGAGCUGGUGAUGUGACAAAGCGACUUCUCAGCUGCAGAAGCUGAUGCUGACAGCUCCUGGCAGGCUGGAAAUGCAGUGCCUGGUUGAGAAACCCCUGAAAAUGAUGGCAAAGGAGGAAAAAAAAAAGAACAUUAAACACUUUUUGAGACUAAGUUCUUCUUAAGUCUGGCCUGAUUUGUCUCUCUGUGACAUAUUUUGGAUCUCUUUUGUGGACUGGGUCCCCCUGAACCCAGCUGGAGUAUCUUACUUGACUUCCCAGGGCUGAACCUCCAGCUCCAUCCUCCUCCACGGGCACAGCAGUGCUCUCCUGUUGUCGGGCUGUUCCCUGCCCCAGGCAGGAUUUACCUUCCCUAAAGCACUUCAAGGGCGAUCCCAACCCAUGUGCUGCCACUUCCCAGCACACGACACUUGUAGGUGUGGCCGAGAUGAAGAGUUUGCCUUGGGCUGCC